rnacentral:rRNA from 1 species
GGCUUAGAGUUUGAUCCUGGUCAGAUUGAACGCUGGCGGAAUGCUUAACACAUGCAAGUCGAGCGGGCUGUAGCAAUACAGCUAGCGGCGGACGGGUGAGGAACACAUAGGAAUCUGCCUCGAAGUGGGGGAUAGCCCGGGGAAACCCGGAUUAAUACCGCAUGAUGUCGCAAGACCAAAGCAGGGGAUCGUAAGACCUUGCGCUUUGAGAUGAGCCUAUGUCGGAUUAGCUAGUUGGCGGGGUGAUCCGUAGCUGGUCUGAGAGGACGAUCAGCCACACCGGAACUGAGACACGGUCCGGACUCCUACGGGAGGCAACAGUGGGGAAUAUUGGACAAUGGGCGCAAGCCUGAUCCAGCAAUUCCGCGUGUGUGAAGGCGGCCUUCCGGUUGUAAAGCACUUUAGGUUGGGAAGAAAAAGCUUCACCUAANGGNUGUGAACCCUUNAAAGGUACCGGACANGUGUCCCCANAAGUCAUCUUCUC